UACAGAGGGGGCAAGCGUUGUUCGGAAUUACUGGGCGUAAAGGGCGCGUAGGCGGCCUUCUAAGUCGAACGUGAAAUCCCCGGGCUCAACCCGGGAACUGCGUCCGAGACUGGAAGGCUUGAAUCCGGGAGAGGGAUGUGGAAUUCUCGGUGUAGCGGUGAAAUGCGUAGAUAUCGAGAGGAACACCUGCGGCGAAGGCGGGUUGCUGGGCUGACACUGACGCUGAGGCGCGAAAGCUAGGGGAGCGAACGGG
rnacentral:rRNA from 1 species